GUGGCCAUAUCACGUUGAAACACCGGUUCCUGUACAAUCAAUGAAGUUAAGCAAAUUCUUGCCUGGUCAGUACGUAGGUGGGUGACCGCUUGCGAAUAUCAGGUGCUGUAA